AAGUCGAACGAUGAACCACUUCGGUGGGGAUUAGUGGCGAACGGGUGAGUAACACGUGGGCAAUCUGCCCUGCACUCUGGGACAAGCCCUGGAAACGGGGUCUAAUACCGGAUAUGAGCCUGGGAGGCAUCUCCCGGGUUGUAAAGCUCCGGCGGUGCAGGAUGAGCCCGCGGCCUAUCAGCUUGUUGGUGAGGUAGUGGCUCACCAAGGCGACGACGGGUAGCCGGCCUGAGAGGGCGACCGGCCACACUGGGACUGAGACACGGCCCAGACUCCUACGGGAGGCAGCAGUGGGGAAUAUUGCACAAUGGGCGAAAGCCUGAUGCAGCGACGCCGCGUGAGGGAUGACGGCCUUCGGGUUGUAAACCUCUUUCAGCAGGGAAGAAGCGAAAGUGACGGUACCUGCAGAAGAAGCGCCGGCUAACUACGUGCCAGCAGCCGCGGUAAUACGUAGGGCGCAAGCGUUGUCCGGAAUUAUUGGGCGUAAAGAGCUCGUAGGCGGCUUGUCACGUCGAUUGUGAAAGCCCGAGGCUUAACCUCGGGUCUGCAGUCGAUACGGGCUAGCUAGAGUGUGGUAGGGGAGAUCGGAAUUCCUGGUGUAGCGGUGAAAUGCGCAGAUAUCAGGAGGAACACCGGUGGCGAAGGCGGAUCUCUGGGCCAUUACUGACGCUGAGGAGCGAAAGCGUGGGGAGCGAACAGGAUUAGAUACCCUGGUAGUCCACGCCGUAAACGGUGGGAACUAGGUGUUGGCGACAUUCCACGUCGUCGGUGCCGCAGCUAACGCAUUAAGUUCCCCGCCUGGGGAGUACGGCCGCAAGGCUAAACUCAAAGGAAUUGACGGGGGCCCGCACAAGCGGCGGAGCAUGUGGCUUAUUCGACGC
rnacentral:rRNA from 1 species